CCUACGGGUGGCAGCAGUGGGGAAUAUUGCACAAUGGGGGAAACCCUGAUGCAGCGACGCCGCGUGAGCGAUGAAGUAUUUCGGUAUGUAAAGCUCUAUCAGCAGGGAAGAAAAUGACGGUACCUGACUAAGAAGCCCCGGCCAACUACGUGCCAGCAGCCGCGGUAAUACGGAGGGGGCGAGCGUUAUCCGGAUUUACUGGGUGUAAAGGGAGCGUAGACGGCGGUGAAAGCCAGGUGUGAAAGCCCGGGGCUCAACCCUGGGACUGCAUUUGGAACUGUGCUGCUUGAGUGUCGGGGAGGCAGGCGGAAUUCCUAGUGUAGCGGUGAAAUGCGUAGAUAUUAGGAAGAACACCAGUGGCGAAGGCGGCCUGCUGGACGAUGACUGACGUUGAGGCUCGAAAGCGUGGGGAGCAAACAGGAUUAGAUACCCUUGUAGUC
rnacentral:rRNA from 1 species